rnacentral:rRNA from 1 species
UACGUAGGCAGCGAGCGUUGUUCGGAGUUACUGGGCGUAAAGGGUGUGUAGGCGGUUGUUUAAGUUUGGUGUGAAAUCUCCCGGCUCAACUGGGAGGGUGCGCCGAAUACUGAAUGACUUGGAGUGCGGGAGAGGAGAGUGGAAUUCCUGGUGUAGCGGCGAAAUGCGUAGAUAUCAGGAGGAACACCGGUGGUGUAGACGGCUCUCUGGACCGUAACUGACGCUGAGACACGAAAGCGUGGGUAGCAAACAGG